UUCAAGAGAAAGUUUAGUAAUAAUUGAUGUUGUUUAUGCCACUGCAGGGCACCCCAAUAUCUGCAAGGCCUAGGGAAGUAUGAUUUUUAGAACACAAAACAAGGAAUUGUGUUCUGCAGCUUUUCAUAAGACCUUGAAUAAUGGAAAGAGAAAAGGGGAUAUGAGCAUAGAAAACAAAAGCAUGCUGGAACAAACUGCAGAAUGAGGAAGAGAGGGGGGAAGACAGAGAGACCAGAAACCUGCCUAUGCUAAAGGCUAAUUUCAGAAAUAUGAUCAGGGAUCCACAAUGCCAACACAUACAGAGUGACUAAAACAUUGUGGACCUGUAACCUAUCAUCAAAUUCUGGAAGGAUUUGAUUGAUACAAGAUGGAUGACUGUUGAUACUGUACAUCUGGCUGAAUGACUCUAAACCUUGAUAUAUUCAGGCAAGGAGACUGCAGCUCUGCCACCUGCCUCUACCCCAGACCCCCUGCGGCAGCUCAGGCUUCCCGUCACUCAGGGACGACCGGCCAACCGUGACUCGGGCACGACUGUAACUGCUCUCAGUACAACACCACGCCCCCUUCUUCUGGAAUGAAAUGCAUAUGCAACGGAAUAUAUAUUAAAAAACUAUUUACCCAAAAAAAAAACAACAUAACCAAACCCGUCAGCUUAAGGAGAAAAGAAAAAGACAUGGUAACAAUGGUGAGAGUGCUACUGAGCAGAGGAAAAGAAGAAGAAAAAAAACCCGUUCUGAUUUACAAAUUACUCUUCAGACUCUCACAAAAUAGUUUGAUUACUUUGAAGUGAAAGUGUAUUCAAGAAAUAUUAAACUAUUUGUUACAACGGACAUAAUUGUGUCUAAUGGCACGGUACAAAGUACAAACAAUGAAAUAUGAAUGCCAACAGACUACAGAGCCAUAUCUUACUUUCAAGUUAUUUCAGCAAUUAUGAGUGUCGGUCAUGUAAAAAGAGUGAGGCCAAGCUGAUUCCUUUGUUUCUAUUGCAAUUGUGUCAUGCGAUGCAAAAAGGCUUUUUGCUUAGAAUAUGUGGAUGAUAAGUAUAACCAAAAUAUCUUCCUUGAAUUUGGGCUUUGUGAUAAAACUAAAGGAAUUGUACGUACUGGUCUGUUUAGCCUCCGGAUAAAUCUGACAGACACAAUGUUAUUAAUAUUCUGGACAGCUCAUCUUCCGUCUUCUUUGUGUAAGCGAAAAACUAUGAAAAGUCUGCUGUAAUGCUAACAUUUAAGUCUAGACUUGACUUUGCUUGGUUUUCUGCUAUUUGUA